rnacentral:tRNA from 2 species
GGCUCCGAGACGUAUUUGAAUUGCAAAUUCAAAGAAGCAGCCUUAGACGCUGCCGGGGCUU